ACCCGCUGUGCAUUAGAGUGUACACGGGCACAUCUCGCUACAUCUCAGCGGGGAAAGCAGCAGCAGUUUCACCAAACGCCGGAUGAUACCCCAGCAGGAGCCAGAUGCGGUAGAACCGAUAAUAUUGCAAUUCCCGUUCUGCUGGCAGAAGUAGAGCAUAUGAAGCAUUUUUCAGAAAGCCUAAAUACAUAAAAAUUAAGGUAUGUUAACAAGUUCCAGUUAAAGAACAGAGACAACUGCCAAACCAGCUUUAUUCAUGGGAGAAAAGAAGCAGAAGCUCCAGUAUGCGGAUUGAAGGCAUCUUGGUGCCACGAUUUAAAGGGACAGAAUAACAACUGCAAGGGGACAGCAGACAGUACAAGAAAGAAGUAUCUGUUACUGAUUACUUAACCGUUGCGAGAGGAGAACCCAAGAGGGGAACAUCUUGUCUUCAAGUCAGUAACACAUUGUAACAAGAGCUGGGGGGAAACUUGGGAAUUGUGCAACUCUGAAUGCAGGGAACUAAUGAUUAUUUGCAUAGAAAUAAAAAAAAGGUUAAAGUUUUA